AUGUCCUCAAGCGAAAGUGAUAGUGGAGGGAGUAAUUACUCAAAUGAAGAGUGUGACGAAGAUGUACAGCUGAUCAACUUACAUGAAAUGAUGAUAAGCAAUCUUGCUUCUGCUGUAACUGUUGUUGAAAAGUACCACAUGGCCUACUUGGAUAAGAAUGAACCUAGGACUUCAAUUCUCAGUGGAAUGGGCUGGGUGAAAGAAACCUUGCGCGCUCCAGGGGAGAGCCACCGCAUGUUUCGUAUGAAUUCUACAAUGUUUCACAAUCUGCAUGAUCUUUUAGUGAGUACGUAUGGUCUGAAAUCAACUACGCAUAUGAGUACUUUUGAAGCUCUACCACUCUUCUUGUACAUCUGUGGUGGAUAUCACUCAAAUCGGGGAGCGCAAAAUCAAUUUAAGCAUUCCAGUGGCACAAUCAGUAGAAAGUUUGAUCUUGUUCUGCACAGCUUGGUAAAGAUGUCUAAAGAUUUUGUGCGACCAAAAGAUCCAAACUUCUCUACGGAGCAUGGUAUGACUGAUAAGCAUUUUCGUAGAUUUGAUUGGAGUCCUAACUAUGUUCCGACAAUACCAACGAGGUAUAGGAAAUAUAUUAUUUCUCAAGAUGCAUCAGACUCAUCAACAUCAAGCACGAGUGAUAGGUCAAUGGAUAAGUUCCGUGACGACCUUGCAAAGGCAGUUGCUGAAUCUACAAGCUAG
rnacentral:rRNA from 1 species